AUGCCUGUGACAAGGAUGAAUUACCUGACUCUGUGCCAGGGAGAAGACUCCAGCUCACUUAGCAGCCUCUUUGCCCUUGGAUUCUCACAUAGUGACAUCACUGAGAAGCAGCUGCCUCAAGGAAGUCGUGAAGGAGGAAUAAAACUUCAAAUAGGAAAGACCGCAUCCCCUUUUCUAAUGAGGAAGUCAGAAAAUAAGACGAGAUUUGGCAAGCCCCAACUUGAGAAAUGGAAGCAAAGGAUGUAACUAGAAACCAUCUCAGAAAUCUAAUCAGCCUCACAAGGUAAGAACCAUGAUUAUCAGAAACUCGACUUUCUCUUAUUUGUUAUUUCAGUUGCCCCCAAUUUAUUCGAGAUUAAAAGCAAAAGCAAACGAAUAAACAAAAACAAAACCCAAACCCA
rnacentral:lncRNA from 1 species